GAUGUAUUAGCGACAAUUUUGGCCAAUUCAUGAAUAUCAAUGAGGAAUACUUGCAUCAAGUAGUAAAAAUUGAGGAUUAACAUUGAUAGGUGGUCUCAAUUUAGAGGUGUUUAUUGUAGAUUAGGUGGGCAGUCAGAGAUAUACGGUCCAAAUGCUUGAGGUUGGCAGAUAAAAGCACCUCCGAGGCAGUCGCCGUCCGGCAAUUGCUUGGUCAUUGUUUACCACUUGAUGCAUGGCAAGCCAAAUCUGAAUGACUCAUGGGGUGUGAUUUGGGCAAGCAAGUGCUAAGAAGACUAUUGGUUUCGCUGAGGUUACUUAAAUAAUGCAAGGAUGUCGACAAUUGAUAAAGAUCGUUGGCUAUAUAGUGGAGACAUUUUACUCAGAACCAAGAACUGCAUGUCUGGCACCAGAUUAUAAAUUGGUCCAUUGCUGUGGACUGUUCGACAUCUUGUUUCCGUAGGAGGCUGGAAUGCGCAGGCCGUAGGUUACAGCCACUGACAAGGGCAUACGUGGCGUAAGCAGAGCCACACAAUGAGUCAAAAUAGGGGCAUUUAGUAAUUUCCAAAUGGACGGUCGUUAGGAGUGAAAGAGGUGGCCGUUAAGGUAAAAAAUCAGGGGGACUGAUUAGUCUAUUGCCACAAUACGACAAAGUAGCCAAACGUAUUGGAUAAGCCACCAGCCCACCGCGUCUCUUGUUCAUCUCAUUGAUCAACCCAGCAUUUUCGUUUCUUCUGCAGAAAACACAUUCAGAGUGAAGGAAAGUGGUCGAUCUUUGCCUUGCUUACCACGGCUUUGAACAAGUUCAGACUUCCAAAUUUUACUUAAGACAAAGGGGUCUCAGUAAAUAACUAAUCUCAGAAUUGGAGUAUUAUACAGAUAGAACUAUGCAUAAAAGUCAUCAUCGAUUCGCAGUUUAACGCAUUAGAGUUACUUAGAUUUGGAACUUACCACUGAUAUAUAAAUGAAGGAACAUGCAUCAUUGCUCAAUUCACUAUUAACUAAAAAAUAGUGUGC